rnacentral:rRNA from 1 species
UACGUAGGGUGCAAGCGUUGUCCGGAAUUAUUGGGCGUAAAGAGCUCGUAGGCGGUCUGUCGCGUCGAUCGUGAAAACUUGGGGCUUAACCCUGAGCUUGCGGUCGAUACGGGCAUGACUGGAGUUCGGCAGGGGAGACUGGAAUUCCUGGUGUAGCGGUGAAAUGCGCAGAUAUCUGGAGGAACACCGGUGGCGAAGGCGGCAUCCUGGACCAACAUUGACGCUGAGGAGCGAAAGCUAGGGGAGCAAACGGGG